rnacentral:tRNA from 1 species
AUUUAUAUGGGGUAACAUACCAAGUAAUAUUUUCAUUAUUAAAAUGGGAAAUUCCCUAGAAAUA